UUAGUAACCACAUUACUCAGACCACCCUGUCAUAUAACCAUAGCUGUUCUUAUCUAAACCUUUCUUGUCCUGUUGGAGCCUUGCAGCAAAAGUGAGGAAAAUCAGUAACUCUAACUCGCAAAGAGGCUUCGAAUGAAAACUGUGGUGGUUCUUGCCCUUGUAGGGCUUCUGGCCAACUAUGUCAGUGGUCGCGCUAUCAUAGUCCAAGAUGAGGACAUGCAGGACGAUGCCCCAUCAGGUGAAUCCUACGACGACUGCAUGAUGAACUGCGAUGACGACAGAGACGAUUGCUUGAAAAAUGCAGGUGAAGAUGAUGCGGAAGCACGGGAUGAAUGUAAGAGAGAACACAGUGACUGUACAGGGAUAGGGAUGCCAUCUCGAGACGACACAGCUUACAAGAGAGUUGUCAAGAGAAGUUGUCAAGAACUUAUUACUAAAGUUCAAGACACUCCCAAGAAUAACAAAGUCAGCUUUGACUUCCUUAUGCAGCAAUAAAUGGGUUGUUAGUGUAGAAUAAAAAUAAGAGAUUUUGAAUAAUCAUUUGAUAUAAGCAACAUGGGUUUAGUUGUUUGAAUAAAUACUAAUUUGGUCCAUUUA